rnacentral:rRNA from 1 species
CGAGAACGUCCAACCAGGAAGGUACCUGAGGAGUCUCGGAGAACAGCACCUGUCGCCCCAGUUCCUUCCUCUGCGUGAUAAGAGGCAUCAACAUUUAAUUUCAAACAUCCCCCAGCUGGUUUUACCCAUUUCUCCUUUACAACACUGGUCACCUUCGCAGAAACUUUAGCGGAGACCCGGAGAGUCAACCUUCCGCCCCAGAUUCAUCUGUCCCUGCUCUACCCAUCAAAGGAAAAAAAAAAUCUAUCCCUGUUCUGUUCUGUAUUGCACGGGCGUAUCGUAUCCCCAGCAUCUUCGAUUCGAUUCAGGCUCUGCCCACGCCCAGCGCUGCAGAUUCAGAUGCUCCCAAUUUUUAUCCCAACUUUGGAGCAGAGAGGGCCAUCAUCCCAGCUGUUUGCAAGACUGGCUCGCAUAAGAGGGGGGGUGAUAAGGUAAACGGACCGCCGCCCAUAUCCGAGUGAUAUCUUUAUAGGAGUAAGAAAAAUGGGCAUCGAAACCAGUAAGCAUGCCAAUGCUUUCCUGCCAAACACUAUGGAUUUCGGUGAACUAGAGAACAUGCUACAAGAGCCAAGUGCCACACCAGUUUGCCUGCCGGUAGAGUUUCUGAAAGGCAUCACACGCGAUUUUUCCGUGGAGCAGGAACUGGGAAGAGGUGGGUUUGGUGUGGUUUACAAGGGGAUACUUCAAAACGGGAAAAUGAUUGCCGUGAAGAAGCUUUUCGACAUACAAGUAGAGGAUGAUCAAUUCCAGAACGAGGUCACCUACCUUAUUGGGGUUAAGCACCAAAACGUAGUACAGCUUGUAGGCUACUGCGCCGAAUCACGGUGGGAAGCGGCACAAGUAGGCGGGAGAUAUGUCAUGGCUGAGAUACGGAGCAGAUUGCUCUGCUUCGAGUAUCUAAACAACAACAGCCUUGCUAAGCAUAUUUCUGCUGAAUCUUGUGGACUUGAGUGGCACAUAAGAUGUAACAUAAUUAAGGGGGUUUGCAGCGGCUUGCAUUGCCUUCACGCGGAGUGCCGCAUUGUUCAUUUGGAUCUUAAGCCCCAAAAUAUAUUGCUGGAUGAUAAUAUGGUCCCCAAGCUUGCAGAUUUUGGCAUGUCUAGGCUCUUUGGUCAACAAGAGUCUCGAGUUAUCACCGAAAGCCGUGGGGGUACACUUGGAUACAUGGCACCAGAGUACAUAACAAAUGGAGUAAUCUCAACCAAGUCAGAUAUAUUCAGUUUGGGCAUUAUAAUCAUUGAGCUAAUGACGGGAAGCAGAGAAUAUCCCCAUAGUAGUGAAGCACUGUCUGAGCACUUCAUUGAGAAUGUGGUUGGAAAUUGGAGGCACAUAUUGGAAAAAACAAUGGGGCAUAAAACGCAGGAAAUAUGUUCCCAACAAGUAAACAGAUGCAUUGCAUUAGGACUUAAGUGUCUUAAUCCAGAUCCCGAUGAAAGGCCCUCUGCAUGGGAUAUGUUGCAAACUCUGAAUGAAUUGGAAAGCACAAAUGGUUGUUUUGACAAGAAUGAUGGACCAGCAGUAGUAACUUACGAAUCAGAAGUAGACACAAUUUUAGGGCGGGGCGAUGUAAAUUCCAGCAAUUUAGCCGCAAAAUUCGACAGGAUAUUGAGUAGAGCAUUCGCCCCAGGUUCUGCAAAUAUGAGCGCCGUUUUCCGCUCUGCUCCCAAAGGAAGAAGGAUAUUGAUCCAAGCUUUUGAGGUUGCCAACACAAUUGUCAUGGCCUCUAAUCUGAUAAAAUCCCUCUCUAAGCAAAGAAUAAGGCACCUGAAAGAGGGCGUGCUUAGGUCGGAAGGUGUUCGCUGUCUUAUUUUGGAAGAUUACAGUCAGCUGUCCCUUAUCAUUGAAGACGACAUACGAGAAGAGUUGAGACGAUUUUGUAUAGAGGUUGCCCGGUUUGGAGAUCUGUGUGAAGAUCCUCAAUGGCACAAUCUCGAUAGGUAUUUCUGUAGAUGCGGUUCUGCACUGACAGUGACAUCUAAGAACAACUCCAGUGAAGAAGCACCUCCCAGUUUGCAGUAUCUGAUAAAAUUGGCACAAAAUACAUGGGUUCUGCGCCAAGAAAUGCUAGCACUGGACAGACUUGAGCACGCUCAUUAUUUAGCAGCUGUUCCUGUUAAGAAACAAAUUGAUGCUAUCAAGAGCCAAAGGGGUGCGGUGAAGGUCUUAAAAAGGAAAUCGCUAUGGUCAAAGAUUAUGGAAGAUAUUGUAGAGAAACUUGUAGGGAUCGUGGACUUCAUCCAUCUUGAGAUCAACAGAGCUUUCUUGGAGAACCAUGCCGAGCAAUCAUCUGGAGAACUUCGUGUGGCUAAAAACCUCGCCAGAACGUUAGGGCCUGCUGGACUCGCGUUGCAUUACGCCAAUGUCAUUUUGCAGCUAAAAACUUUGGCAUUGACAUCACCAGCGGUUCCUCAGAAUGCUCGGGAGGCAUUGUACCAAGCACUGCCUCCUAGGAUCAAACCAGUCCUGCAUACCCAACUGCGGCGGCGUUUUCCCCUCAGAGAAAAGCAGGUAGGUAGCCAACUCUUUCAGCAAACAUUACAUAUAAAAUAAAUAGGGAAUCCAUCCCUUGUCAUCUCGGCUCUAUCUGCAUCUUGUAGACCAUGACGGUUGCAGAGGUGAGAGCUGAAAUGGACAGGGUAUUGCGAUGGCUUGUGCCAGCUGCGGAAUCCACGAGGUAAUUCGUGCAAGUUUUCAAGUUAACAGAACAGCACUACUUGAAGUACAUUACUUUUAAUCUUACCGCACAGAUAGCUAUAGAUGUUCUACAGAAAAAAAGUCUUAGUGAUAUAUGUUCAUGGCUCACCUGGCUUCCUUCUUGAUGAGUAUCAGGCUUUACCUCGGAGAAUGGGCGAGGAGAGGGUACGCACCCUGUAAAUCUGUAAUCGUCCGACCGCUCGUCUCGUUUCUGUGUUUGCUCAUGCAACAGACGUAUAAACUGCAAUUCUCUGGCAGGCUGUCCCAUUUCUCAUGAAUCAAUCUCUUUUACAGGAUGGAGUGUGUCGAUGCCGACGAAGCGAACUGGUUCAAACAAGACAGUCAUAUCAGCGUCAGUUCCAUGCUUGCUCAUGCAGACGCCAAAGUGAGCAAGGUAGAGACGCUGUACUACGCCGACAAGGAGACGACCGAAGGUUACAUAGCGGAGCUUGUUCUGGCUCUUCAUCUUCUUGUUUCGCCUACUGUCGAGAAAUAAUGAGUCCAAGAUGAAGGCACUGAUGAAAAAUUGAUAUCAAUAUGAGCACAACUUGAAGCCUCUACAUUAACUUAUCCAAUCUAUGCUGUCGAAGCAAUGAGGGGAUAAGGCAGCCCCGGAUGCCUGAUUUUUCGGUUUCGGCCUCUUCAGAUGCGUCAAACAGUUGUAACGCCGAGGGAGAUGAGACGAUUCUUGUGAAGUUUCAGUUUUUAAGCAGGCUCUCGGUUGUCUCUGAGACUUAUCCAAGAACUCUGUUCGCUCGGUCUUGUGUAUAAUCGGCAACUAAAUGGUAACCUCAUCCUCACAUUUGUGCAGUUUGGUUCUCUACAUCUGCCUACAUAUUUUGUUUUAGAUUU